UAGUAACUGCGAGUGAAGCGGGAAAAGCUCAAAUUUAAAAUCUGGUGGUCUUUUGGCCAUCCGAGUUGUAAUUUAGAGAAGCGUCUUCCGCGCUGGACCGUACACAAGUCUCCUGGAACGGAGCGUCAUAGAGGGUGAGAAUCCCGUCUUUGGUACGGACCCCCAGGGCUUCUGUGAUGCGCUCUCGAAGAGUCGAGUUGUUUGGGAAUGCAGCUCAAAAUGGGUGGUGAACUCCAUCUAAAGCUAAAUAUUGGCGAGAGACCGAUAGCGAACAAGUACCGUGAGGGAAAGAUGAAAAGCACUUUGGAAAGAGAGUGAAACAGUACGUGAAAUUGUUGAAAGGGAAACGCUUAAAGUCAGUCGCGUCGACCGAGACUCAGCCUCGCUCCGGCUUGGUGUAUUUCUCGGCCCGACGGGUCAGCGUCAAUUUGGUCCCUCGGAUAAUGGCAAGGGAAAGGUGGCACCUUUGCGGGUGUGUUAUAGUCUUUUGUCGCAUGCGAGGGGUGAGAUUGAGGAACUCAGCACGCGCGCCCUUCUGGGUGUGUCGGGGCCUCGGCCCACGCCACGUGCUUAGGAUGCUGGCGUAAUGGCUUUAAACGACCCGUCUUGAAACACGGACCAAGGAGUCUAACAUGCCCGCGAGUGUUCGGGUGGAAAACCCGUGCGCGUAAUGAAAGUGAAAGUUGGGACCUUCGUCGUGAAGGGCACCGACGCCCGGACCAGACCUUCUGUGACGGAUCUGCGGUGGAGCGUGCAUGUUGGGACCCGAAAGAUGGUGAACUAUGCCUGAAUAGGGUGAAGCCAGAGGAAACUCUGGUGGAGGCUCGUAGCGAUUCUGACGUGCAAAUCGAUCGUCAAAUUUGGGUA
rnacentral:rRNA from 1 species